UUGGGCUUGUGUUUGAGCAUAGCAGCACGAGUGGCUGAUUCAAAAACCUCACGAACACCUUCAUUCGUCUUGGCAGAACACUCAAGGUAUUUGUAAGCACCAAUCUUCUGAGCUACUGCUUGACCUUCUUCUGUGGUGACGGGAUGCUGAUUAGUCUUGGAUAACUCCUCAAUAAUUUUUGGGUCGUUACGGAGAUCAGCCUUGCAAGCGACAAGCAAAAUAGGAAGACUGGAACAGAAAUGGAGAACCUCGGAAAUCCAUUUUUCUUGAACAUUGUCAAGAGAAUCGGGAGAAUCAACAGCAAAGCAAAUAAGGAUAACAUGUGAGUCAGGAUAUGACAAGGGACGUAGACGGUCGUAAUCUUCUUGUCCAGCCGUAUCCCAAAGAGCCAACUCAACGUGGCGUCCAUCAACCUCAACAUCAGCUACAUAAUUUUCAAAAACAGUGGGAACAUAGACCUCGGGAAAGGUUCCUUUAGAAAAUACACUAUAAAGAAAAAUGUUAGAAGUUGUAUAACAAUGACACAGACUCGUGAAACAUUGCAGAUAAGCAAGCAAAGAGUAAGUAGAAAUACAGGGUACG